rnacentral:tRNA from 2 species
GCUAGGGUGGCAGAGCUUGGUAAUUGCAAAAGGCCUAAGCCCUUUUAGCAGAGGUUCAAAUCCUCUCCCUAGCU